rnacentral:rRNA from 1 species
CAGUCGCCGCGGUAAUACGUAGGUGGCAAGCGUUGUCCGGAAUUAUUGGGCGUAAAGGGCUCGCAGGCGGUUUCUUAAGUCUGAUGUGAAAGCCCCCGGCUCAACCGGGGAGGGUCAUUGGAAACUGGGAAACUUGAGUGCAGAAGAGGAGAGUGGAAUCCCACGUGUAGCGGUGAAAUGCGUAGAGAUGUGGAGGAACACCAGUGGCGAAGGCGACUCUCUGGUCUGUAACUGACGCUGAGGAGCGAAAGCGUGGGGAGCGAACAGGAUUAGAUACCCCGGUAGUCCCUGUCUCUUAUAC